UGGGGAAUCUUGGGCAAUGGAGGGAACUCUGACCCAGCGACGCCGCGUGAAGGAAGACGGUCUUCGGAUUGUAAACUUCUGUUCUUAGUGACAAGGGGAAGAUGGUAGCUAAGGAGGAAGCCCCGGCUAACUACGUGCCAGCAGCCGCGGUAAUACGUAGGGGGCGAGCGUUGUCCGGAAUGAUUGGGCGUAAAGGGCGUGUAGGCGGCUAUUUGUGUCCGAUGUGAAAGUCCAACUUUCAAGGUUGGAAUUGCAUUAGAAACUGGGUAGCUUGAGUGCAGGAGAGGUUAUCGGAAUUCCCGGUGUAGCGGUGAAAUGCGUAGAGAUCGGGAGGAACAUCAGUGGCGAAGGCGGGUAACUGGACUGUAACUGACGCUGAGACGCGAAAGUGUGGGGAGCAAACAGG
rnacentral:rRNA from 1 species